rnacentral:rRNA from 1 species
UACAGAGGUGGCAAGCGUUGUUCGGAAUUACUGGGCGUAAAGGGCGCGUAGGCGGUUCGUUAAGUCCUGUGUGAAAUCCCCCGGCUCAACUGGGGAACUGCACAGGAAACUAGCGGGCUUGAGUUCGGGAGAGGGAGGCGGAAUUCCGGGUGUAGCGGUGAAAUGCGUAGAUAUCCGGAGGAACACCGGUGGCGAAGGCGGCUUCCUGGACCGACACUGACGCUGAGGCGCGAAAGCUAGGGGAGCAAACGGG